rnacentral:misc_RNA from 1 species
GAAAUGCGAUAAGUAAUGUGAAUUGCAGAAUUCAGUGAAUCAUCGAAUCUUUGAACGCACAUUGCGCCCAUUAGUAUUCUAAUGGGCAUGCCUGUUCGAGCGUCAUUUCAACCCUCAAGCCUUAGUUGCUUGGUGUUGGGAGCUUAUCCUGCCGCAAGGCGGGACAACUCCUUAAAUUUAUUGGCGGAGUCGCGGUGACCCCAAGCGCAGUAAUUCCUUUCUCGCUUUAGGUGUUAACGCUGGCUUCUAGCCAUUAAACCCCCUAAUUUUCUAAUGGUUGACCUCGGAUCAGGUAGGACUACCCGCUGAACUUAAGC